ensembl:lncRNA
AUACAGUAUAACUGGCAAAACCAGAGUUUGUCAGAUUCUAAUGGCCUAGAAAGUCAAUAUCUGGUAUGACCACCUUUAUACUUCAACACAACAGGAACUCUUUCAGGUAAGCUUUCUUGUAAUUUCUUUAAGGCAUCAUCAAGAACAGUGCUCUGGGCUUUUUGAAUGAAAUUCACAGCUCUACUUUGGAUAUUGGCUGCUUGUUUGUUCUGUUCUUUGUCAAGGUGAUCCCACACUGCUUCACUAAUGCUUAUGUCCAGGGCUGUGGGGAGAGCAGUCCACAACUCACAGUGUAUAUUAUUCCAUCCAGGCAUGUUUUGUACCUCAUUGGCACUGUGUUUUGAAUCACUGUCACACUGAAAAGGGAAGCCUUUCUAGUUGGCAAUACAUGGUGGAUCCUAAUCUGAUGGUACUUUUCUGCAUUCGUAACUCCAUUACACUCCUCAACACCACUGGCUAAAAUGCAGCACCAAACAAUGACAGAGCCACCACCAUUCUUUUUUUUUUUUUUUUUUUUACAGAUAAUGGACUGAUUCUUAUAUUCAACCAUCCUUCCAUUAAGACCACUUCUGGUGAGGCUUUGACGAACAGUACUGUAGAUGGAUUGGCUGAAUUGUCAAAAGCAUUUCUCAGGUCCUGUCUCAGGUCUUUUCUGGAUUUUUCCCUAUUGCUUAAGGACAUGUCUUCUGAUACUGUUCAUCUGCUGUAGAUUAUUUUUAAGGGUUGCCGCUUUUUCUUUUGCCCUCCACUUUUCCAGUUUCCUCAGUGACACCCUGCACACCAACCAAAUAUAUGCCAAGUUUUUGGUUCAUAGCUCUUUUGGAAACAUGUUGCUGGUGCAAAAUUACUAUUUUAUGCCGGUCUGUGUUAUUGGUGGCAUUUAACUAAAGAAAUGAGAACAAAAAGUUUAUUUUUGCAGCAGGUCACUGCUAACAAAUUGCUUAAAGCUACAAUUUAAAAUGUUCUUUUCUAAGUUGUCUGUUAUGUGUGGACACAUCACUGGUCCAUCACUUAAGUUAGGUAUCUUUUUAUGCUUGAGUGAUGCAGAGAACAAACAAACAUACAAACAAAAAUAAUAAGGUACAAGGACCCGACUAAUAGUGAAUGAAAAAGCAGCUAAAGUCCACAAAAAGACCUUCAGGAAGCCUGUUGAACUACUGCUCAAGACCACUUAAAAAUGUCCAAAAAGUCUGGUGGAACAUUUGCACAGUACCUU